rnacentral:rRNA from 1 species
CACGAACCGUACGAACGUUAUUCGGAAUUACUGGGCUUAAAAGGGUUUGUAGGCGGCCAUGUAAGUCAGGUGUGAAAUCCCUCGGCUCAACCGAGGAACGGCGCUUGAUACUGUAUGGCUUGAGGGAGACAGGGGUAAGCGGAACUGAUGGUGGAGCGGUGAAAUGCGUUGAUAUCAUCAGGAACACCGGUGGCGAAAGCGGCUUACUGGGUCUCUUCUGACGCUGAGGAACGAAAGCUAGGGUAGCGAACGGG